rnacentral:rRNA from 1 species
AUGGACACCGUCCACCGACGACCACCCAGGUCAUGUUGCCGUGACCUGCCUCCUCUGCAUCGCACUGGCGUGCCGUUGCCCUGCUUCUGCGUGCGAGCAUGCGAGGACGACGACCAACGCCAAGUCCUGCUUCUCCCGUUGACCGCUGUGCUAGGUCUAGCCGUGCCAAGCCCAGCUGGCCUGCCUUGGCCUCUCCAUCGACCCGGGCUUGGCCUGUGGUGUGAGAUUGCUGAGUCCUCUGACUCACGGAUACUACCAAAACAGAUGCAGCUGCCGAUGAUACCAGUGCAGCUGACGCAAUCGAGCUCAAGUGGGAGCUCAAUGAAGAUCUUGGUCAUUGUUAUGUGUCUUUUCCGGUUGAUCAGUAGUGGUGCCUAG